rnacentral:misc_RNA from 1 species
UGCUGAUCUUGGGAAGCAGAAAGCCAUGUCCAGAAAGUAUUCGUAGGCUUUAUUGUUGCGAUCACUUACUGCCGAAGAAAAAUCGGAGGCAAAUACUGGUGGAACACCCGGCAUGUGAAUAAAGGUGUUCAGAUCUUUGAAACUUUUGGCAGUGUUCUGAUGAAGGGUCGGAAAAUACAUGGAAGUAGCAAGAGACCCGGCACCAGAAGUAUAAAAGAAAUAGCCAGGGAUGUUAAGU